rnacentral:rRNA from 1 species
GAUCCUGGCUCAGGACGAACGCUGGCGGCGUGCCUAAUACAUGCAAGUAGAACGCUGAAGGAAGGAGCUUGCUCUUUCCGGAUGAGUUGCGAACGGGUGAGUAACCCGUAGGUAACCUGCCUGGUAGCGGGGGGAUAACUAUUGGAAACGAUAGCUAAUACCGCAUAAUAGUAGAUAUCGCAUGAUAACUGCUUAAAAGGUGCAAUUGCAUCACUACCAGAUGGACCUGCGUUGUAUUAG